AUCCAGCUGACGUGUCCCACAAAGGACAAAACGCGCGUUCUGGAU
rfam:Schistosoma margrebowiei strain Zambia genome assembly, scaffold: SMRZ_contig0004921